UUCCGGUUGAUCCCGCCGGACCCCACUGCUAUCGGGAUAGGACUAAGACAUGCUAGUUGAGCGCUUCCAGCCAAUACGGGAGCGCAGCGCACAGCUCAGUAACACGUGGCUAAUCUGCCCUUGGGACCGGAACACCCCCGGGAAACUGGGGCUAAUUCUCGAUAGGUGAAGAACUCUGGAAUGAGUCUUUGCUUAAAAGACGUUUACGUUAUGCUCGUAGAUGUCGCCCAAGGAUGAGGCCGCGACCGAUCAGGUUGUUGGUGAGGUAAUGGCUCACCAAGCCUUUUACCGGUGCGGGCCGUGAGAGCGGGAGCCCGGAGAUGGGCACUGAGACAAGGGCCCAGGCCCUACGGGGCGCAGCAGUCGCGAAAACUUUGCAAUACACGAAAGUGUGACAGGGCUAUCCCGAGUGCCAUCCGCUGAGGAAGGCUUUUACCCAGUCUAGAACGCUGGGGGAAUAAGGAGAGGGCAAGUCUGGUGUCAGCCGCCGCGGUAAUACCAGCUCUCCGAGUGGUGUGGAUGUUUAUUGGGCCUAAAGCAUCCGUAGCUGGCUGAGUUAGUCCCUUGUUAAAUCCACCGAAUUAAUCGUUGGAUUGCGGGGGAUACUGCUCGGCUAGGGGACGAGAGAGGCAGACGGUAUUUCCGGGGUAGGGGUGAAAUCCUAUAAUCCCGGGAAGACCACCAGUGGCGAAGGCUGUCUGCUAGAACGCGCCCGACGGUGAGGGAUGAAAGCUGGGGGAGCGAACCGGAUUAGAUACCCGGGUAGUCCCAGCUGUAAACGAUGCAGGCUAGGUGUUUGGACGGCCACGUGCCGUUCUAGUGCCGCAGGGAAGCUGUUAAGCCUGCCGCCUGGGGAGUACGAUCGCAAGAUUGAAACUUAAAGGAAUUGGCGGGGGAGCACCACAAGGGGUGAAGCUUGCGGUUUAAUUGGAGUCAACGCCGGA
rnacentral:rRNA from 1 species